rnacentral:rRNA from 1 species
UUAACACAUGCAAGUCGAACGAGAAAGCUCCCUUCGGGGGGUGAGUAAGGUGGCGAACGGGUGAGUAACGCGUGGGUAAUCUACCCUUAAAUUCGGGAUAACUUGUCGAAAGAUGAGCUAAUACCGGAUAAUAUCCAUAUAGCCUUGGCUGUGUGGAUCAAAGAUGGCCUCUGAUUUAAGCUGUCGUUUAAGGAUGAGCCCGCGUACCUUUAGCUUGUUGGUAAGGUAAUGGCUUACCAAGGCUACGAUGGUUAGCUGGUCUGAGAGGAUGAUCAGCCACACUGGAACUGAAACACGGUCCAGACUCCUACGGGAGGCAGCAGUGAGGAAUUUUGCGCAAUGGGGGAAACCCUGACGCAGCAACGCCGUGUGAGUGAUGAAGGAUUUCGAUUCGUAAAGCUCUGUCUAGCGGGAAGAAAUUGAUUGAUGUUAAUACCAUCUUUCAUUGAGGGUACCGCUGAAGGAAGCACCGGCUAACUCCGUGCCAGCAGCCGCGGUAAUACGGAGGGUGCAAGCGUUAUUCGGAAUUAUUGGGCGUAAAGGGCGCGUAGGCGGCUGGUUAAGUCAGAUGUGAAAGCCCGGAGCUUAACUCCGGAAGUGCAUUUGAAACUAACCCGCUUGAGUAUGGGAGAGGGAAGUGGAAUUCCUGGUGUAGAGGUGAUAUUCGUAGAUAUCAGGAGGAACACCGGUGGCGAAGGCGGCUUCCUGGACCAAUACUGACGCUGAGGCGCGAAGGCGUGGGGAGCGAACAGGAUUAGAUACCCUGGUAGUCCACGCAGUAAACGGUGAUCACUAGGUGUAGCGAAUAUUAGUCUGCUGUGCCGAAGCAAACGUAUUAAGUGAUCCGCCUGGGGAGUACGAACGCAAGUUUUAAAGCUCAAAGGAAUUGACGGGGGCCCGCACAAGCGGUGGAGCAUGUGGUUUAAUUCGACGCAACGCGAAGAACCUUACCUGGGUUUGACAUCUCGGGAAUCUUUAUGAAAAUAUGGAGUGCCCCUUUGGGGAGCCCGAUGACAGGUGCUGCAUGGCUGUCGUCAGCUCGUGUCGUGAGAUGUUUGGUUAAGUCCAGCAACGAGCGCAACCCUUUUCUUCAGUUACCAGCAUGUUAUGGUGGGGACUUUGAAGAUACUGCCCCGGUUAACGGGGAGGAAGGUGGGGAUGACGUCAAGUCCUCAUGGCCUUUAUGUCCAGGGCUACACACGUGCUACAAUGGACAGUACAAAUGGUUGCAAACCUGCGAAGGUGAGCUAAUCCCAAAAAGCUGUUCUCAGUUCGGAUUGGAGUCUGCAACUCGACUCCAUGAAGUUGGAAUCGCUAGUAAUCGCGAAUCAGCAUGUCGCGGUGAAUACGUUCCCGGGCCUUGUACACACCGCCCGUCACACCAUGAGAGUUGGUUGUACCAGAAGUUGUCAGGCUAACCUGCAAAGGAGGCAGGCACCUAAGGUAUGGCUGAUAAUUGGGGUGAAGUCGUAACAAGGUA